GGAAUGUAUGCUGAUGUGGAAGCGCAAAUCGUGAGUUACAUGAGAGAUGGAUUCGAAUCCCUUUGUUUGUGUGUUCUGUGUAUGUGCGUAAUCUCUGUAAAAGUUUGUGUCAGUCUGUCGUCGUUCGUCUGAGCUCUGUGCGCGCACUUUGUGUAUUGGGCUGCGUGCGUGCGGAUGCGUGUGUGUGUACGUGCGGUUGUGUGCGCGCUCGGUGUGUGUGCGUUUAUGUGCACACCCUGUGUGGGUGCGGGCGUGUGAGGAGGAAGACGGCAUGGAUCAGAGAAUGUUCAAGGAAGGAGGGGGCCCGGUGGGCUCCAAGGCGUGGAAUGGCGCUAUACCGGCGAGGGUGGGGGCCAGCAGGACGUGCGGGCUUGGCCAGAUUGUGACGUCAACAUUGAUACAUGUUGAAGAGAAGUGAGAAAAGAGAA